CCGCACGCGCGCUACACUGAAGGAAUCAGCGUGUUUUUGCCCUGGCCCGGAAGGGUUGGGUAACCCGUUGAACCUCCUUCGUGCUAGGGAUUGGGGCUUGUAAUUAUUCCCCAUGAACGAGGAAUUCCCAGUAAGCGCGAGUCAUAAGCUCGCGUUGAUUACGU
rnacentral:rRNA from 1 species